rnacentral:rRNA from 1 species
UACGUAGGUGGCAAGCGUUAUCCGGAUUUAUUGGGCGUAAAGAGAACGCAGGCGGUCUUUUAAGUCUGAUGUGAAAGCCUUCGGCUUAACCGGAGUAGUGCAUUGGAAACUGGGAGACUUGAGUGCAGAAGAGGAGAGUGGAACUCCAUGUGUAGCGGUGAAAUGCGUAGGUAUAUGGAAGAACACCAGUGGCGAAAGCGGCUCUCUGGUCUGCAACUGACGCUGAGGCUCGAAAGCAUGGGUAGCGAACAGG